UACGUAGGGGGCUAGCGUUGUCCGGAAUCAUUGGGCGUAAAGAGCGUGUAGGCGGCUUGGUAAGUCCGCUGUGAAAGUCCAGGGCUCAACCCUGGAAUGCCAGUGGAUACUGUCAAGCUAGAGUCCGGAAGAGGCGAGUGGAAUUCCUGGUGUAGCGGUGAAAUGCGCAGAUAUCAGGAGGAACACCGGUGGCGAAGGCGGGUCUCUAGUACGGUACUGACGCUGAGACGCGAAAGCGUGGGGAGCGAACAGG
rnacentral:rRNA from 1 species